rfam:Bacterium TASB14 DNA, scaffold: TASB14_scaffold_7.
CACAGGGCGUUGCCCUGUGCUGAUAUAUCGCGCCCUUUCAGGGCU